rnacentral:rRNA from 1 species
CCUACGGGAGGCAGCAGUGGGGAAUAUUGCACAAUGGGGGAAACCCUGAUGCAGCGACGCCGCGUGAGUGAAGACGUAUUUCGGUAUGUAAAGCUCUAUCCGCAGGGAAGAAAAUGACGGUAACUGAUUAAGAAGCCCCGGCUAACUACGUGCCAGCAGCCGCGGUAAUACGUAAGGGGGAAGCGUUAUCCGGAUUUACUGGGUGUAAAGGGAGCGUAGACGGCAGCACAAGUCUGGAGUGAAAUGCCGGGGCUUAACCCCGGAACUGCUUUGGAAACUGUGCAGCUUGAGUGCAGGAGAGGUAAGUGGAAUUCCUAGUGUAGCGGUGAAAUGCGUAGAUAUUAGGAGGAACACCAGUGGCGAAGGCGGCUUACUGGACUUUAACUGACGUUGAGGCUCGAAAGCGUGGGGAGCAAACAGGAUUAGAUACCCCGGUAGUC